GUGGCUAGCUCAAUCAAUAGAGCAUGAGACUCUUAAUCUCAGGGUCUUGGGUUCAUGUCCCAUGUUGUCACC
rnacentral:tRNA from 1 species